AAAUUGAAGAGUUUGAUCAUGGCUCAGAUUGAACGCUGGCGGCAGGCCUAACACAUGCAAGUCGAACGGUAACAGGAAGCAGCUUGCUGCUUUGCUGACGAGUGGCGGACGGGUGAGUAAUGUCUGGGAAACUGCCUGAUGGAGGGGGAUAACUACUGGAAACGGUAGCUAAUACCGCAUAAUGUCGCAAGACCAAAGAGGGGGACCUUCGGGCCUCUUGCCAUCGGAUGUGCCCAGAUGGGAUUAGCUAGUAGGUGGGGUAACGGCUCACCUAGGCGACGAUCCCUAGCUGGUCUGAGAGGAUGACCAGCCACACUGGAACUGAGACACGGUCCAGACUCCUACGGGAGGCAGCAGUGGGGAAUAUUGCACAAUGGGCGCAAGCCUGAUGCAGCCAUGCCGCGUGUAUGAAGAAGGCCUUCGGGUUGUAAAGUACUUUCAGCGGGGAGGAAGGCGAUAAGGUUAAUAACCUUGUCGAUUGACGUUACCCGCAGAAGAAGCACCGGCUAACUCCGUGCCAGCAGCCGCGGUAAUACGGAGGGUGCAAGCGUUAAUCGGAAUUACUGGGCGUAAAGCGCACGCAGGCGGUCUGUCAAGUCGGAUGUGAAAUCCCCGGGCUCAACCUGGGAACUGCAUUCGAAACUGGCAGGCUAGAGUCUUGUAGAGGGGGGUAGAAUUCCAGGUGUAGCGGUGAAAUGCGUAGAGAUCUGGAGGAAUACCGGUGGCGAAGGCGGCCCCCUGGACAAAGACUGACGCUCAGGUGCGAAAGCGUGGGGAGCAAACAGGAUUAGAUACCCUGGUAGUCCACGCCGUAAACGAUGUCGACUUGGAGGUUGUGCCCUUGAGGCGUGGCUUCCGGAGCUAACGCGUUAAGUCGACCGCCUGGGGAGUACGGCCGCAAGGUUAAAACUCAAAUGAAUUGACGGGGGCCCGCACAAGCGGUGGAGCAUGUGGUUUAAUUCGAUGCAACGCGAAGAACCUUACCUACUCUUGACAUCCAGAGAACUUUCCAGAGAUGGAUUGGUGCCUUCGGGAACUCUGAGACAGGUGCUGCAUGGCUGUCGUCAGCUCGUGUUGUGAAAUGUUGGGUUAAGUCCCGCAACGAGCGCAACCCUUAUCCUUUGUUGCCAGCGGUCCGGCCGGGAACUCAAAGGAGACUGCCAGUGAUAAACUGGAGGAAGGUGGGGAUGACGUCAAGUCAUCAUGGCCCUUACGAGUAGGGCUACACACGUGCUACAAUGGCGCAUACAAAGAGAAGCGACCUCGCGAGAGCAAGCGGACCUCAUAAAGUGCGUCGUAGUCCGGAUUUGAGUCUGCAACUCGACUCCAUGAAGUCGGAAUCGCUAGUAAUCGUGGAUCAGAAUGCCACGGUGAAUACGUUCCCGGGCCUUGUACACACCGCCCGUCACACCAUGGGAGUGGGUUGCAAAAGAAGUAGGUAGCUUAACCUUCGGGAGGGCGCUUACCACUUUGUGAUUCAUGACUGGGGUGAAGUCGUAACAAGGUAACCGUAGGGGAACCUGCGGUUGGAUCACCUCCUUACCUUAAAGAA
rnacentral:rRNA from 1 species